GGGCCUGUAGCUCAGCUGGCCAGAGCGCUCGGUUUGCAUCCGAGAGGUCAGGGGUUCAAAUCCCCUCGGGUCCA
rnacentral:tRNA from 1 species